rnacentral:rRNA from 1 species
AAUGAACGUUGGCGGCGUGGAUUAGGCAUGCAAGUCGAGCGAUAACCGUAGCAAUACGGGGACAGCGGCGAAAGGGAGAGUAACGCGUGGAUAAUCUACCCUCGGGACUGGGAUAGCCGCGGGAAACUGCGGGUAAUACCGGAUAAUGUCUUCGGACCAAAGGUGCGAUUCCGCCCGGGGAUGAGUCCGCGUCCUAUUCGCUAGUUGGUGGGGUAAUGGCCUACCAAGGCGAAGAUGGGUACGGGGUGUGAGAGCAUGCCCCCGCCCACUGGGACUGAGACACUGCCCAGACACCUACGGGUGGCUGCAGUCGAGAAUCUUCGGCAAUGGGCGCAAGCCUGACCGAGCGACGCCGCGUGCGGGAUGAAGGCCUUCGGGUUGUAAACCGCUGUCGGAGGGGAGGAAAUGCACGGGGGUUCUCCCUCGUGUUUGACCUAGCCUCAGAGGAAGGACGGGCUAAGUUCGUGCCAGCCGCCGCAGUAA